rnacentral:rRNA from 1 species
GUGAACGCUGGCGGUAGGCCUAACACAUGCAAGUCGAACGGCAGCACAGUAAGAGCUUGCUCUUACGGGUGGCGAGUGGCGGACGGGUGAGGAAUACAUCGGAAUCUUCUUUUUCGUGAGGGAUAACGUAGGGAAACUUACGCUAAUACCGCAUACGACCUACGGGUGAAAGCAGGGGAUCUUCGGACCUUGCGCGAUUGAAUGAGCCGAUGUCGGAUUAGCUAGUUGGCGGGGUAAAGGCCCACCAAGGCGACGAUCCGUAGCUGGUCUGAGAGGAUGAUCAGCCACACUGGAACUGAGACACGGUCCAGACUCCUACGGGAGGCAGCAGUGGGGAAUAUUGGACAAUGGGCGCAAGCCUGAUCCAGCCAUACCGCGUGGGUGAAGAAGGCCUUCGGGUUGUAAAGCCCUUUUGUUGGGAAAGAAAAGCAGCAGGUUAAUACCCCGCUGUUCUGACGGUACCCAAAGAAUAAGCACCGGCUAACUUCGUG